rnacentral:piRNA from 1 species
UGUUGUAAUUGAUGCCAAUAGCUGCCGGUC